UACGUAGGGGGCUAGCGUUGUCCGGAAUCAUUGGGCGUAAAGCGCGUGUAGGCGGCCCGAUAUGUCCGCUGUGAAAGUCCAGGGCUCAACCCUGGGAUGCCGGUGGAUACUGUCGGGCUCGAGUCCGGAAGAGGCGAGUGGAAUUCCUGGUGUAGCGGUGAAAUGCGUAGAUAUCGGGAGGAACACCUGAGGCGAAGGCGGGCUACUGGGCCGAUACUGACGCUGAGGCGCGAAAGCCAGGGGAGCAAACGGG
rnacentral:rRNA from 1 species